rnacentral:sRNA from 1 species
GUUUAGCCCAGAUGGUAGUGAAAAUCCUUUGCUGCCAGGGUUUGGCAGUAAAGAUUGUAACGUACAGCUGGAAAUGGC